UCUACUGACUGCAGUCAUAGUGCUGUGUGUCCUGAUCAAUACAAACAAUCAACAGUUUAACAUCAAGACCAAAACCAUCACAGAAGAGAGAGACCAGCUACUAACCAAAUAUACCAACAUCACAGAGGAGAGAGACCAGCUACUAAGUAAAAAUCACCUCCUUACAAAAGAGAGAGAUAAAUUACAAAAUGAGCAGCUGACAAAGAAAAAUACACUGUGGACACGUUAUGAUGGAUGGAUUUAUUAUCAAUCCAGUUUGUACUUCAUUUCAACUGAGAAGAAGAACUGGACUGAGAGCAGAAGAUACUGUAGAGAGAGAGAAGCAGAUCUGAUCAUCAUUAACAACAAAGAGGAACAAGAUUUUAUUAAGAAGAAAUGUGGUAAGGACAAUCUCUGGAUUGGUUUGUCUGACAGUGAUGAGGAGGGCAGAUGGAAAUGGGUUGAUGGCAGCACACUGAACACUAGAUUCUGGAGGUCUGGAGAACCCAAUGGACGUACAGGAGAGAACUGUGUUGUGUCUU